GCCCGGGUGGCGGAAUAGGUAGACGCAAGGGACUUAAAAUCCCUCGGGUGCAAGCCCGUGCCGGUUCGAGUCCGGCCCCGGGCA
rnacentral:tRNA from 1 species